rnacentral:rRNA from 1 species
UGGGGAAUCUUGCGCAAUGGGGGAAACCCUGACGCAGCGACGCCGCGUGCGGGAUGAAGGCCCUCGGGUUGUAAACCGCUUUCAGCAGGGACGAGGCCUUAUGGUGACGGUACCUGCAGAAGAAGCUCCGGCUAAAUACGUGCCAGCAGCCGCGGUAAUACGUAUGGAGCAAGCGUUAUCCGGAUUCAUUGGGCGUAAAGCGCUCGUAGGCGGUCUGUUAGGUCGGCAAGUUAAAUCCGGGGGCUCAACCCCCGUCCGCUUCCGAUACCGGCAGACUUGAGUGUGGUAGGGGAAGGUGGAAUUCCUAGUGUAGCGGUGGAAUGCGCAGAUAUUAGGAAGAACACCGGUGGCGAAGGCGGCCUUCUGGGCCAUAACUGACGCUGAGGAGCGAAAGCUAGGGGAGCGAACAGG